GACGAACGCUGGCGGCGUGCUUAACACAUGCAAGUCGAACGGAAAGGCCCUGCUUUUGUGGGGUGCUCGAGUGGCGAACGGGUGAGUAACACGUGAGUAACCUGCCCUUGACUUUGGGAUAACUUCAGGAAACUGGGGCUAAUACCGGAUAGGAGCUCCUGCUGCAUGGUGGGGGUUGGAAAGUUUCGGCGGUUGGGGAUGGACUCGCGGCUUAUCAGCUUGUUGGUGGGGUAGUGGCUUACCAAGGCUUUGACGGGUCGCCGGCCUGAGAGGGUGACCGGCCACAUUGGGACUGAGAUACGGCCCAGCCUCCUACGGGAGGAAGCAGUGGGGAAUAUUGCACAAUGGGCGGAAGCCUGAUGCAGCAACGCCGCGUGCGGGAUGCCGGCCUUCGGGUUGUAAACCGCUUUCGCCUGUGCCGAAGCGUGAGUGACGGUAAUGGGUAAAGAAGCACCGGCUAACUACGUG
rnacentral:rRNA from 1 species